UACGUAGGGUGCAAGCGUUAAUCGGAAUUACUGGGCGUAAAGCGUGCGCAGGCGGUGAUGUAAGACAGAUGUGAAAUCCCCGGGCUCAACCUGGGAACUGCAUUUGUGACUGCAUCGCUGGAGUGCGGCAGAGGGGGAUGGAAUUCCGCGUGUAGCAGUGAAAUGCGUAGAUAUGCGGAGGAACACCGAUGGCGAAGGCAGCCCCCUGGGUCAAAACUGACGCUCAUGCACGAAAGCGUGGGGAGCAAACAGG
rnacentral:rRNA from 1 species